AGAGUUUGAUCCUGGCUCAGAACGAACGCUGGCGGCGUGGAUAAGACAUGCAAGUCGAGCGGGAUUUUUUCCUAGCAAUACAGGGAAAAGUCUAGCGGCGAACGGGUGCUUAACACGUGGGCAACCUGCCAAGAAGUGGGGGAUAGCUCGCCGAAAGGCGAAUUAAUACCGCAUGUGAUCAGAGUGGACAUCCAUUCAAAAUCAAAGUCGGGGCAACCUGACGCUUCUUGAGGGGCCCGCGGCCUAUCAGCUAGUUGGUGGGGUAACGGCCCACCAAGGCUUAGACGGGUAGCUGGUCUGAGAGGACGACCAGCCACACUGGGACUGAGACACGGCCCAGACACCUACGGGUGGCAGCAGUCGAGAAUUUUUCUCAAUGGGGGAAACCCUGAAGGAGCGACGCCGCGUGGAGGAUGAAGGUCUUCGGAUUGUAAACUCCUGUCAUUGGGGAACAAUGCGCAAAUAUUAACUGUAUUUGCGUUGAUAGUACCCGAAGAGGAAGAGACGGCUAACUCUGUGCCAGCAGCCGCGGUAAUACAGAGGUCUCAAGCGUUGUUCGGAUUCAUUGGGCGUAAAGGGUGCGUAGGCGGCGCGGUAAGUCGGGUGUGAAAUCUCGGAGCUUAACUCCGAAACUGCAUUCGAUACUGCCGUGCUUGAGGACUGGAGAGGAGACUGGAAUUUACGGUGUAGCGGUGAAAUGCGUAGAUAUCGUAAGGAAGACCAGUGGCGAAGGCGGGUCUCUGGACAGUUCCUGACGCUGAUGCACGAAGCCAGGGGAGCAAACGGGAUUAGAUACCCUAGUAGUCC
rnacentral:rRNA from 1 species